AUUGAACGCUGGCGGCAGGCCUAACACAUGCAAGUCGAACGAAUGGCGGACGGGUGAGUAAGGUCUGGGAAACUGCCUGAUGGAGGGGGAUAAGUACUGGAAACGUUAGCUACUACCGCAUACCAUCAGAUGUGCCCAGAUGGGAUUAGCUUGUUGGUGGGGUAAAGGCUAACCAAGGCGACGAUCCCUAGCUGGUCUGAGAGGAUGACCGGCCACACUGGAACGGAGACACGGACCAGACUCCUACGGGAGGCAGCAGUGGGGAAUCUUGCACAAUGGGCGCAAGCCUGAUGCAGCCAUGCCGCGUGGAUGAAGAAGGUCUUCGGGUUGUAAAGUACUUUCGGCGGAGAGGCGUUACCCGCAGAAGAAGCAACGGCUAACUCCGUGCCAGCAGCCGCGGUAAUAC
rnacentral:rRNA from 1 species